UGCCAUCUGCAAAAGUCAUGGCCAAAACAGGAACUAACAGGCCAAACUACCAUCAAUCUAGUCUUCUACAGCACCCUAACAGAGUGCCAGGGUCCUCUGUCCCCUCCGCACCUGAGGGCAAAGUUCCAGGAAGUUUACUGCCGGUGUUAGGAGGUGAGCUCAAGUUCAGUGUCUCUGCCUCUGGCUCCACAGAAACCAGCCCCUAUCACGUGGCUUCUGGAAAAUGUGCCCUCCUCAGGAUUGGUCCAGGGAGU
rnacentral:lncRNA from 1 species